rnacentral:lncRNA from 1 species
AUGGAAAAGAAAUAUAAAAAAGCAAAAUGGCUGUUCAGGGAGCCCUUACAAAUAGCUGUAAAAAGAAGAGAAGCAAAAAGCAAAGGAGAAAAGGAAAGAUAUAAGCAUCUGAAUACAGAGUUCCAAACAACAAUAGCAAGAAGAGAUAAGAAAGCCUUCCUCAGCAAUCGAUGCAAAGAAAUAGAGGAAAACAACAGAAUGGGAAAGACUAGAGAUCUUUGGAAGAAAAUUAGAGAUACUAAGGGAACAUUUCAUGCAAAGAUGGGCUCGAUAAAGGACAGAAAUGGUAUACACCUAACGGAAGCAGAAGAUAUUAAGAAGAGGUGGCAAGAAUACAUAGAAAAACUGUACAAAAAAGAUCUUCAAGACCAAGAUAAUCAUGAUGGUGUGAUUCACCUGGAGCCAGACAUCCUGGAAUGUGAAGUCAAGUGGGCCUUGGAAAGCAUCACUAUGAACAAAGCUAAUGGAGGUGAUGGAAUUCCAGUUGACCUAUUUCAAAUCUUAAAAGAUGAUGCUGUGAAAGUGCUGCACUCAAUAUGCCAGCAAAUUUGGAAAACUCAGCAGUGGCCACAGGACUGGAAAAGGUCAGUUUUCAUUCCAAUCCCAAAGAGAGGCAAUGCCAAAGAAUGCUCAAACUACCACACAAUUGCAUUCAUCUCACACGUUAGUGAAGUAAUGCUUAAAAUUCUCCAAGCAAGGCUUCAGCAAUACAUGAACCAUGAACUUCCAGAUGUUCAAGCUGGUUUUAGAAAAGGCAGAGGAACCAGAGAUCAAAUUGCCACCAUCUGCUGGAUCAUGGAAAAAGCAAGAGAGUUCCAGAAAAACAUCUAUUUCUGCUUUAUUAACUAUGCCAAAGCCUUUGACUGUGCGGAUCACAAUAAACUGUGGAAAAUUCUGAAAGAGAUGGGAAUAUCAGACCACCUGACCUGCUUCUUGAGAAACCUAUAUGCAGGUCAGGAAGCAACAGUUAGAACUGGACAUGGAACAACAGACUGGUUCCAAAUAGGAAAAGGAGUACAUCAAGGCUGUAUUUUCUCACCCUACUUAUUUAACUUUUAUGCAGAGUACAUCAUGAGAAACACUGGGCUGGAAGAAGCACAAGCUGAAAUCAAGAUUACUGGGAGAAAUAUCAAUAACCUCAGAUAUGCAGAUGACACCACCCUUAUGGCAGAAAGUGAAGAGGAACUAAAAAGCCUCUUGAUGAAAGUGAAAGAGGAGAAGGAAAAAGUUGGCUUAAAGCUCAACAUUCAGAAAACGAAGAUCAUGGCAUCUGGUCCCAUCACUUCAUGGGAAAUAGAUGAGGAAACAUUGGAAACAGUGUCAGACUUUAUUUUUGGGAGGUCCAAAAUCAUUGCAGAUGGUGAUUGCAGCCAUGAAAUUAAAAGACGCUUACUCCUUGGAAGGAAAGUUGUGACCAAGCUAGACAUCGUAUUAAAAAGCAGAGACAUUACUUUGCCAACAAAGGUCCGUCUAGUCAAGGCUAUGGUUUUUCCAGUGUUCAUGUAUGGAUGUGAGUGUUGGACUGUGAAGAAAGCUGAGCACCGAAGAAUUGAUGCUUUUGAACUGAGGUGUUGGAGAAGACUCUUGAGAGUCUCUUGGACUGUAAGGAGGUCCAUCCAGUCCAUCCUAAGGGAGAUCAGUCUAGGUGUUGAUUGGAAGAACUGA